GCCGGUGUAGCUCAGUGGUAGAGCAACGCUUUCGUAAAGCGUGGGUCGUCGGUUCAAAUCCGACCACCGGCU
rnacentral:tRNA from 1 species